UACGUAGGGAGCAAACGUUGUCCGGAAUCAUUGGGCGUAAAGCGCGCGUAGGUGGCUUCGUAAGUCCGUUGUGAAAGUCAAAGGCUCAACCUUUGAAAGCCGAUGGAUACUGCGGAGCUAGAGUACGGAAGAGGCGAGUGGAAUUCCUGGUGUAGCGGUGGAAUGCGCAGAUAUCAGGAGGAACACCAAUAGCGAAGGCAGCUCGCUGGGACGUUACUGACACUGAGGCGCGAAAGCGUGGGGAGCGAACAGG
rnacentral:rRNA from 1 species